rnacentral:rRNA from 1 species
GACGAACGCUGGCGGCGUGCCUAAUACAUGCAAGUCGAGCGCAGGAAACUGACGGAACUCUUCGGAGGGAAGGCAGUGGAAUGAGCGGCGGACGGGUGAGUAACACGUAAGGAACCUGCCUCAAGGAUUGGGAUAACUCCGAGAAAUCGGAGCUAGUACCGGAUAGUUCAACGGACCGCAUGGUCCGCUGAUGAAAGGCGCUCCGGCGUCACCUUGAGAUGGCCUUGCGGUGCAUUAGCUAGUUGGUGGGGGAACGGCCUACCAAGGCGACGAUGCAUAGCCGACCUGAGAGGGUGAUCGGCCACACUGGGACUGAGACACGGCCCAGACUCCUACGGGAGGCAGCAGUAGGGAAUCUUCCACAAUGGACGAAAGUCUGAUGGAGCAACGCCGCGUGAGUGAUGAAGGUUUUCGGAUCGUAAAACUCUGUUGUAAGGGAAGAACACGUACGAGAGGAAAUGCUCGUACCUUGACGGUACCUUACGAGAAAGCCACGGCUAACUACGUGCCAGCCGCCGCAGUAAUAC